rnacentral:lncRNA from 1 species
GGAAACUGGGUGUGAUCCAGCAGGACCGCAAGGUCCACAUACAUACACAUACACACACACACACACACACUCACAUAUACAUAUAUGCUGAAGUAGUGGUGAACAAAGAAAAGUUGAGAAAUAUAGAAGUUUGUUUUUGCGGAUUUCUAUGUUUAUGUAAUAUCUUUGAAGAACUUUAUUUAUAUUGAUUUUGAAAAUUAUUCAUAUUCGCUGUUGGUUGAUUUGGGUCCUUUGGAUCUCAGGGUGUGGCUCACAGUUCGUUUUGCAUUUAAAUUAAACAUUAAAGUGAAAUAAACAAAGCAUUUACAUAUUAAGGUUUGAAAUUUAUAUACUGUACUUUCCUAAGACAACUGCUACAGCAAAAUGUCAAAAGCGGAGAGUAAAGCAGUUAAACGCAUGACCCCAAUUGAGGUGGUGCAGAAAAACAAUCCCCUUAUUAAAGGCCUACCAGAGGCCUCAAAGAAAUGGAACAAGCGUUGGCCAGAUAUUGAACAACCUUGGCCGGUUGAAGGUACCCUCAACCCCGAUGUGAUUCAAACAAUCUGUACACUUGUUACCGCCUAUAAAGCAAAUGAGAAAAAAGGAAAAAGGGGGAAGUCUCGUGCAGAAAAAAGACAGACUGAACUCGCAAUGUUGCAACUUUUUGAACAGGAGGGACAGAAGUUGAGAUUGGCUGCAAAAAAGAAAAACAGAAUAGCUAAAGAAAUUAUUGAAAGAACCGCAAAACAAACAGCGGCGCUUGUGGAAAAGAUUAACACUCCUUUCUCUCAUACGGCUCCUGUAACAACCCCUCCACCGGAUGAGACAGAAACUGAAUACACUGACAUCUAUCCACAACUUCCUGUACUCAGCCAGAAAGGCAAGUACAACAUUAAAGAUGAUCACAACCAAACUGAAAAGGGAAAGGCAAAAACAGUCAUACACAUUUAUCCGACAACUCCAAAAUCUAAAUCAAGAAAAACACGAGAUGAUGUUUACAACACACUGCUUCUGGAGGAUGAUGAUGAGAGCGGUACAGAUGAAGCCAUAGGUGGCUAUGAUCCCGCCAUUAAGCGUGUGUUGGCUAAAGCUGAAAAG